rnacentral:rRNA from 1 species
CCUACGGGUGGCUGCAGUGGGGAAUAUUGGACAAUGGGGGCAACCCUGAUCCAGCCAUGCCGCGUGUGUGAAGAAGGCCCUCGGGGUGUAAAGCACUUUCAGUGAGGAAGAACGCCUGGUGGUUAAUACCCAUCAGGAAAGACAUCACUCACAGAAGAAGCACCGGCUAACUCCGUGCCAGCAGCCGCGGUAAUACGGAGGGUGCGAGCGUUAAUCGGAAUUACUGGGCGUAAAGCGCGCGUAGGUGGCUUGAUAAGCCGGUUGUGAAAGCCCCGGGCUCAACCUGGGAACGGCAUCCGGAACUGUCAAGCUAGAGUGCAGGAGAGGAAGGUAGAAUUCCCGGUGUAGCGGUGAAAUGCGUAGAGAUCGGGAGGAAUACCAGUGGCGAAGGCGGCCUUCUGGACUGACACUGACACUGAGGUGCGAAAGCGUGGGUAGCAAACAGGAUUAGAUACCCCAGUAGUC